AGCGAACGCUGGCGGCAGGCCUAACACAUGCAAGUCGAACGAAGUCUUCGGGGUUAGUGGCGCACGGGUGCGUAACGCGUGGGAAUCUGCCCCUUGGUUCGGAAUAACAGUGAGAAAUUACUGCUAAUACCGGAUGAUGACGUAAGUCCAAAGAUUUAUCGCCGAGGGAUGAGCCCGCGUAGGAUUAGCUAGUUGGUGGGUUAAAGGCCUACCAAGGCGACGAUCCUUAGCUGGUCUGAGAGGAUGAUCAGCCACACUGGGACUGAGACACGGCCCAGACUCCUACGGGAGGCAGCAGUGGGGAAUAUUGGACAAUGGGCGAAAGCCUGAUCCAGCAAUGCCGCGUGAGUGAUGAAGGCCUUAGGGUUGUAAAGCUCUUUUACCCGGGAUGAUAAUGACAGUACCGGGAGAAUAAGCUCCGGCUAACUCCGUGCCAGCAGCCGCGGUAACAC
rnacentral:rRNA from 1 species